rnacentral:rRNA from 1 species
AACGAACGCUGGCGGCAUGCCUAACACAUGCAAGUCGAACGAGACCUUCGGGUCUAGUGGCGCACGGGUGCGUAACGCGUGGGAACCUGCCCUUAGGUUCGGAAUAACUCCCCGAAAGGGGUGCUAAUACCGGAUAAUGUCUUCGGACCAAAGAUUUAUCGCCUUUGGAUGGGCCCGCGUUGGAUUAGCUAGUUGGUAGGGUAAAAGCCUGCCAAGGCGACGAUCCAUAGCUGGUCUGAGAGGAUGAUCAGCCACACUGGGACUGAGACACGGCCCAGACUCCCAAGGGAGGGCGGAGGGGGGAAUAAUGGAACAUUGGGGAAAGGCUUAUCCAGCAAUGGCGGGGUAGGGAUGAAGGGCUUAGGGUUUGAAAGCUCCUUUACCCGGGAUGAUAAUGACAGUACCGGGAGAAUAAGCUCCGGCUAACUCCGUG